GGUGAGGCUGCUGCAGAGAACAGCAUCAGCCCAGUCAUUUAGAGCAGAUUAAUAAUGCAUCGAGUUUCUAUCUACAGCGGGAGACGUGCACAAACAUGGACUGAAGGAGCUUUACUUCUUCAAAGAGGAGCAGAAUGGAGCUGCAGUCCUACAUCACCAUCAAACCUGAGCUGGCAGCUGCUUUAAAAGGAUGGAAGCUGCUCUUUGAUUGUUCCUGGAUCAGGACCAGCAGCCUGUGGUAGAGCUGUGGACCAGGGACCCAAAAACAUUCAGUCAUGCACUUAUACCCUUCAGGAGGAGGGAGCAGGAGGAGCUGGGAGGAGCUGGGAGGAGGAGGAAGCCGAGGAAGAUCCUUUGGGAUUUUCUAUUGCAUUUGAGCAAGGUGGAAUCUACUGUCCAACCUUAUGAACCGAUUUCUGGGUGAUAGUUGCUCUCAUGAUUCAGCAGUAGCACAGAGCAAGGAAAAGAGAAAUAAUGAUAAAGUGAAGGAAAAGGUCCAACCAGCUCUCUAAACAGGGCGGCCCAGUUUAUCUCCUGGAGCUGAAGCUGUCUUCUGCCCUCGGGUGCAUGAAUACAAAUCCUGCCAUCAUCAUUUCAACUCCAAUGGAAAAACAGAUCUGUUUAUGGUCUGUAACCUGGUUUAGGUGUGAUUAAAGUCAGAGUGAGCCUCCUUCCUAACAGCAGGCCAUAUGGAGCAUUUCCGCUGGGCUCAUUAGCGCAUUCAUGCUGGGAGGGGCUGUUUUCACCUUCAGGUGGAAAAAGAGGUGUCGGAAAGGAGCAAUAAACUUGUUAUCUUUUAAUGAUCAGACAAAAUCUGCACAAACAGAAAAAUGAGCUGGUCUGAUCUGUAGCGAAGUUUUACUGUAAACAGAGUCUGGUUCAGAGUAGAAGAUCUCCAGACAGCAUUCAAUGCAA